rnacentral:rRNA from 1 species
GGGGGACGGAAGAUUAACAUUAGGGUAACAUGCCUCACACAGAGGAAUGACAAUAACAAAUGACUGCUAAUACCGAAUAAACGCAAUCUAUCGCAUGAUGCAGUGUGAAAAACUCCAGUGGUGUGAGAUGGACCCGCGUUGGAUUAGGUAGUUGACAGGGCAGCGGUCUACCAAGGUGAUGAUCCAUAGCCGGCCUGAGAGGGUGAACGGCCUCAUUGGGAAUGAGACACGGCCCAAACUCCUACGGGAGGCAGCAGCUGGGGAAUAUUGCACAAUGGGGGAAACCCUGAUGCAGUGACUCCGCGUGAAGGAAGAAGUAUCUCGGUAUGUAAACUUCUAUCAGCAGGGAAGAAAAUAGACGGUUCCUGAGUAAGAAGCCCCGGCUAUCUACGUGCCAGCAGCCGCGGUAAUACGUAGGGGGCAAGCGUUAUCCGGAUUUACUGGGUGUAAAGGGUGCGUAGGCGGUCUUUCAAUGUCAGGAGUUAUAGGCUACGGCUCAUCCGUAGUAAGCUCCUGAUACUGUAUGACUUGAGUGCAGGAGAGGAAAGCGGAAUUCCCAGUGUAGCGGUGAAAUGGGUAGAUUUUGGGAGGAACACCAGUAGGGAAGGCGGCUUUUUGGACUGUAACUGACGUUGAGGCACGAAAGCGUGGGGAGCAAACAGGAUUAGAUACCCUGGUGGUCCACGCUGUAAACGAUGAGUACUAGGUGUCGGGGGUCCCCACCUUGGGGCUCGCAGGUUACCGAUUAAGUUCUCCCGCUGGGGAGAGCGCACGCACAUGUGUAACUCUCAGGAAUAUACGGGGAGCCCCACACGUAGCGGAGCACGUGGUUUAAUUUGAGGCAACGCGAGGAGCACUUCCUAGGCUCGACAUCUUUUUGGCAGUGGCCUAUUAUCCUCUUUCCUUCCUGGGACAGAAGAGACCGGGGGCGCAUGGUUGUUGUCAGCUUGUGUUGUGAGAUGUUGGGUUAAGUUCCGCAACGAGGGCCACCCUUGUCUUUAGUUGCCUUCCUUUAGUUGGACCCUUUAGAGAGACUGCCAGGGAUAACCUGGGGGAAGGGGGGGAAGAAGUCAAAUCCUCCUGCCCCUUAAUCUUAGGGGUACCCCCGUGGUUCCAUGGGCGGGACCGAGGGCAGCCAAUCCCUGAGGGGGAGCAAAUCCUUUAAAACCAUUCUCAGUUCGGAUUGUAGGCUGAAACUCGCCUACAUGAAGCUGGAGUUACUAGUAAUCGCAGAUCAGCAUGUUGCGGUGAAUGCGUAACCGGGCCUUGCACACACCGCCCGUCA